GCGAACGUUGGCGGCGCGCCUAACACAUGCAGGUCGAACGCGAAAGAUCUUCGGAUCGAGUAGCGUGGCGCACGGGUGAGUAACACGUGAGUAAUCUUCCCUUGGGUCUGGGAUAACACUGUCGAAAGACGUGCUAAUACUGGAUAAGACCACGUUGCCUGCGGGUGAUGUGAGAAAAGACGGGGACUCGAAAGAACCUGUCGCCGAAGGAUGAGCUCGCGGCCUAUCAGCUAAUUGGCGGGGUAAUGGCCCACCAAGGCUAAAACAAAUAACUGGUCUGAGAGGAUGAUCAGCCACACUGGAACUGAGACACGGUCCAGACUCCUACAAAAAACAACAGUGGGAAUUUUGCGCAAUGGGCGAAAAGCCUGACGCAGCGACGCCGCGUGUACGAUGAAGGCCUUUGGGUCGUAAAGCACUGUCGACAGGGAAGAAAGCUCGUCGGAUAACACCCGGCGAGGUUG
rnacentral:rRNA from 1 species